rnacentral:rRNA from 1 species
AUUGAACGCUGGCGGCAGGCCUAACACAUGCAAGUCGAACGGUAACAGGAAGAAGCUUGCUUCUUUGCUGACGAGUGGCGGACGGGUGAGUAAUGUCUGGGAAACUGCCUGAUGGAGGGGGAUAACUACUGGAAACGGUAGCUAAUACCGCAUAACGUCGCAAGACCAAAGAGGGGGACCUUCGGGCCUCUUGCCAUCGGAUGUGCCCAGAUGGGAUUAGCUAGUAGGUGGGGUAACGGCUCACCUAGGCGACGAUCCCUAGCUGGUCUGAGAGGAUGACCAGCCACACUGGAACUGAGACACGGUCCAGACUCCUACGGGAGGCAGCAGUGGGGAAUAUUGCACAAUGGGCGCAAGCCUGAUGCAGCCAUGCCACGUGUAUGAAGAAGGCCUUCGGGUUGUAAAGUACUUUCAGCGGGGAGGAAGGGAGUAAAGUUAAUACCUUUGCUCAUUGACGUUACCCGCAGAAGAAGCACCGGCUAACUCCGUG